GUCGGCCCCGGAGAAGGGAGGAG
rnacentral:piRNA from 1 species